CUGAAUCUCAAAAAACUGUGUCACCUGUUCCAUUAGCUUUUCUCCCUCUUUGUUCUUGGUGCUAUCUGAUGUAAUAAUUAUCUCAGAGGAAUGCAACAGAGAGAAGAAAGUCAACUUCAAAGCUCUCUUUCUGCCUAGACCUCAUGCAUAGCAGCAAGUUACAGCUGACUUCAUUACUCUCAAGAAUUCCUCAUGGGAGAAAUGAUCUUUACACACAACUUUGAUUUCCAUGGGACACAUACUGUGAUUUUUACUUGGAGAAUAACCAAAAUUGGAAACAAGAGUUGCAGUCAAGGGGUUGUCCAAGGCUAUGGUCUCAACUGGAGCAUUGGCUGAGGGAGCAUCCAUUCCAAGCUUAUCCGCGGGAUUGUUGGAAGGCUUCAAUUCCUUGCUGGCAGUUAGCCAGAGGCCUCCCUUAUGUCCUUACUUUCUUGGCCACUCAGUACGUCAGCUCAUAACAUGGUGGCUGGAUUCCCUCAGAGUAAGAGUAAAAGAAGGCAGGUGCAACUGCCUGUCUUGAUACCCCUAUAUUCCUGUGAAACCCACUUGUCCCCUGAGGUUACCUGAAGAUGAUGUAUCAGUCGGAAUGCCUUUGACAAGUUCCAGUGUCAGCUGUGUUGGCUUAAACAAAAAGUACUGCAUAAGCUUCCAUAAAAAGAAAUCUCGAGGCAGGCAGCCGGUGGCUGAAUCUUUCCAUGUUCUGAUAUACCAGUCAGUCUAAGGUUUAUCCGACCUCCACUCGCUCUGUGGUUGUAGGAUGGCUAUGAAAUGCCUGUAUCUUCAUUCACUUGACUCUUCAGAGCCCUUUAAUUCAUUUCCCCAACAAUUGCAAAUCUCAAUAUUUGCAUGUUAAUAAGAUCUGCUGAAGAAAAACAUUCCUAUCUGCUCUCAUUUUUUUGCAGCACAAAAUCAUGACAGUGACUGGGUUUCAUCAUUUUUUUGCUCACAAAUUUCUACACACGGAGGGGAGCAAUCAUCAGAUUUAUCUUAAGAAUAAUUUCAACUUUAUAAUACUUUCAGAAGCCAUAGAUACAAUCAAUUUUGAUUUUAAAUACUAUUUCUUUUCCUCAGUUUCACUUUAUUUUGUUUUCCUUUUAGCUAGUUCAAUGUCUAUAGUUUGUCAGUAAGAAAUGAACACAUUAAUAAGAGUAUUUAUAGGAAAUAUUCUUUAGGAAUCAUUUCUUAAAAAUAGUCCUAUAUUUUAAAGCACAAUUUAUUUUUAAUUGAAUAUCCAAUUCGCUUAUGUCAAAUAUAAAUAAUUGAUUCUUAUGGAAAUUACAAACAGAAAAAGAAAAAUCUCUCCAAUAACAUUACCAAAAAUUAAGGACUGUGAACAUGUGUUGCUUUCCAGAUUUUGUUUAAGAUUUCUGUUAUAAUCUUACCCACAUGUAAAUUGUAACAUAUCCAAUAUAUAGUUUGUCUUAUGAUAUGUUCUCUUAGCCUUAUGCACAAAAGAAUUUUCCCAUGCCACUAUUUUUAAAAACAGUACUAUGAUAUCCGUAAAAUAUUAAAAGAAUGGAUGUAGUAUUAAUUAUUUCCAUGCUUUUAUUUUUUAGAUUAUUUCUUAUCCUUUUAGUAUUAAAAUACCAUUUUUAUGUAGUGAUUAACUUCUUUGCAUCAAUUACUAUCCACAUUUUUUAUUAAUACUGUAUCUUUAAAUUUAUUUUUUUAAUGGAAUUACUGGUUGGAUAGCAUAUGAUUUCUUAAGUUUUAUCACACAAAUGAACAUAAUUGUUAAAAAAUAUAAUUAAAAAUUUUUUCUGGGCUAUUGAUAAUUUGCCCAGAAUAUAUAUAAAUGAUGAAUAAAUAUAAAUGAUAAAUAUAUAUAAAUAUAAAAUGAUUUCAUGCUAGUUUUCAUGUAUUUUUCAUUUUAUUGCAUCAGUUACAUAGUGAAUCCUAAGUCUUCUGUGACAGCAGCUACUGAAAACUGCAUAUUGCUUUAAAGUCUACAGAAUACAGUGUAGCUUUGAGCACUUCAAUAUUUCUUCACUUUUCAUCUGUAACAUGGAUGCAUAAUUUUGCAGUAUAAGCACAAAAAUUUUGCUUUGUUUUGUUUUGUUUUUGUAAGUAGAGGUUUACAUAAAACCGGUAAUCAUAAAAUCUCUUUAUCAUUUCGCAAAAAGAAAAAGCAACUCUAAUCAGCAAGUUUUAAAAUGGAAGGUUAACUCCAUGGAAAUCUACUUUGAUGUAAUAAAUUCCAUCUUGAUGAUUACAUCUUUAAUGUAUGAAAUUCAGAUGGAAAAAUCAAAGUAAAUUUUUUGGACAUCAUGGAAAGCUAUUUCUA
rnacentral:lncRNA from 1 species